rnacentral:rRNA from 1 species
UACGAAGGGGGCUAGCGUUGUUCGGAAUUACUGGGCGUAAAGCGCACGUAGGCGGAUCGAUCAGUCAGGGGUGAAAUCCCAGGCUCAACCCUGGAACUGCCUUUGAUACUGUCGAUCUGGAGUAUGGAAGAGGUGAGUGGAAUUCCGAGUGUAGAGGUGAAAUUCGUAGAUAUUCGCAAGAACACCAGUGGCGAAGGCGGCUCACUGGCCCGAUACUGACGCUGAGGUGCGAAAGCGAUGG